rnacentral:rRNA from 2 species
ACGAACGCUGGCGGCGUGCUUAACACAUGCAAGUCGAACGGAAAGGCCCUUCGGGGUACUCGAGUGGCGAACGGGUGAGUAACACGUGGGUGAUCUGCCCUGCACUUUGGGAUAAGCCUGGGAAACUGGGUCUAAUACCGAAUAUACCUUGCUGGAUGCAUGUCUGGUGGGGGAAAGCUUUUGCGGUGUGGGAUGGGCCCGCGGCCUAUCAGCUUGUUGGUGGGGUGAUGGCCUACCAAGGCGACGACGGGUAGCCG